rnacentral:snoRNA from 1 species
AGAGCCGUGAUGAACUCUUAACAUGCCAUCUGAUUGCCCUUGCUGAAACCCAGAGGCUGUUUCUGAGCAU